rnacentral:lncRNA from 1 species
GGAUCCCAAUAUUAGAUUUCCAGCUCUGCGGCCCACUGCCCCGGGGAUCCCAAUAUUAGAUUGCCAGCUCUGCGGCCCACUGCCCCGGGGAUCCCGCCAUUAGAUUGCCAGCUCUGCGGCCCACUGCCUGGUUGUCCCACCAUUAGAUUGCCAGCUUUUUGCGGCCCACUGCCCUGGGGAUUCCGCUAUCAGAUCACAAGCUCUGCAGCCUUUGCCAGCGUGUUUGUGUUGGCCUUUAGAGUGCAAGCUCUGUAGCCCAGCUCUGGGAUCUUAAUCUGAGUUGAUUACCAUGAUCCAAAGGGUAAAUUAAUUCUCUCACUUGAGCAUAAUAAACAUGGCAGCUGUUCACUUACAUGAUGAUUUCUAGUGCGUUAGACUUCUGAAUCUGAUGAAGUAACUAAAAAAUCUGAUGUCUGUUGCCUUGUGUGCUACUUAGUAGACCGAGCCCUAUAUUAUAACAAAUCACUAAUUCCUGACUUACUUUUCUCUUUCAGACCAGAAGAAACCACCAAGCUGCUAUGGACCUUAUGGGAUUACACUGAUCAGCCACAACAUUAAAACCACUGACAGGUGAAGUGAACAAGAUUGAGUAUAGCUGUACAACGGCACCUGUCUCAAGGGGUGGGAUGAAUUAGGCAGCAGAGAAGUCAGAUCUUGAAUUUUAUGUGUUGGAAGCAGAUAAAAUGGGCAAGGGAAAAGAUCUGAGUGACUUUGAGAAGGGCCAAAUAGUGAUGGCUAGACGAGUGGGUCAGAGCAUCUCCAAAACGGCUCAUCUUGUGGGGUGUUCCCGCUAUGCAGUGGUUAGUACCUACCAAAAGUGGUGCAAGGAAGGAGAACCAGUGAACCGGCGUCAGGGUCAUGGGCGUCCAAGGCUCAUUGAUGCACAGGAAGAGCAAAGGCUAGUCAGUCUGGUCGAAUCACACAGAAGAGCUACUGUAGCUCAAAUUGCUGAAAAACUUAAUGCUGACCAUGAUAGAAAGGUGUCAGAACACACAGUGCAUCGCAGCUUGCUGCGUAUGGGGCUGCGUUGUCGCAGACCGGUCAGUGCCAAUGAUGACCCCUGUCCACCACCACCCAAAGAGCCUUUACCGGAGACGUGAGCGUCCGAACUGGACCAUAGAAGAAUGUUGGCUGGUUUGAUAGUUUCUUUAGAUUAGUUGGAUGGCUGUGUCGUUUAUCUGGGGACAAGAAGGCAGCGGGAUGCAGUAUGGUGAGAAUACAGGCUGGUGUCUUCCUGUUAGAACUUAUUAUAAUAAAGGUAUAAUUUCACUGA